UGUACGUACAAGCAGUGGGAGCACCUUCGGGUGUGACUGCGUACCUUUUGUAUAAUGGGUCAGCGACUUAUAUUCUGUAGCAAGGUUAACCGUAUAGGGGAGCCGCAGGGAAACCGAGUCUUAACUGGGCGUUAAGUUGCAGGGUAUAGACCCGAAACCCGGUGAUCUAGCCAUGGGCAGGUUGAAGGUUGGGUAACACUAACUGGAGGACCGAACCGACUAAUGUUGAAAAAUUAGCGGAUGACUUGUGGCUGGGGGUGAAAGGCCAAUCAAACCGGGAGAUAGCUGGUUCUCCCCGAAAGCUAUUUAGGUAGCGCCUCGUGAACUCAUCUUCGGGGGGUAGAGCACUGUUUCGGCUAGGGGGUCAUCCCGACUUACCAACC
rnacentral:rRNA from 1 species